rnacentral:sRNA from 1 species
GGGAGCGUGAGAAGGGCCGGCUGCCGGAGCUGGGUUGCGAUCUUCCCGGAGCCGGAGACCCUCCCUCGAAACCGGCACUGGGACUUCUUGAUCUCUGGAGGCACCUGUUGCAAGUGACAGCGCUCGGCCGUCGAGCGGGGUCGCUAACCCGCACUCUCUUCGGACCUCCGACAUCGCGGCUUCUCUGGCGUUGGCCAGUCAGCCACAGGUAA